rnacentral:lncRNA from 1 species
GAGAAAAGCAGAGGGGAGAUUAUAAGACAUUGUGUGUCAAGACCAAAGAGGAUGGGCAUUAGCCAAGACCAGUGGAAAAUUCCUGGGAGAUUCAAGCAGGGCAGUGCCAUUGUGUUUCAGGAAAAUCUCUUGGCCUUUGUGGUUUGCAGGAGGUCAGAGUUGCCUACAAGGAGAAUGGGUGUUCCAGUCUUCCAGGCAAGAAAAGAUGACAGUCAUAACCAGGAGGUCACUGCAGGAGAAUGGGAGGAGGGCUGAGAAGUACCUUGGAGAUGGAGCCAAGAGAACUUGGUCCUGAAGAAAAGAGAUGGUGUCAGCAUAGAUGAAAUGAAAGGAACCCUUUCAGGCAUGAAGGGAAAGCUAACCAAGAGCUCACUCUGUGGAAGCUAAACAGUUAAUUCGCAAGAGGAAGCUGCUAAUCAAAUGAACAAGUGUGAAGUGAAAAUGCCAACCCCAGUGAAGACGCAGCCAAAGCUGGCAAAGGCAAAUGGAGAAAACGCAGGCAGCAUCAGUGAGCUGUUCCUGGAAAUGGAGUCUAACUACAUUAACGCAUUCAGACAGAGGGAAACAGAUGGUCGGUGUGAUGUCCUCAGUCACUUCACAAGCUGGAUAAAUAAUUGUUGCCAGGGAAGGAAUAAUAAAAGCAGGAUUUUGCCAACAUGAGCUGUUGCCCUGGCCUUUGGUUCCGGGAGUGCUUCUGGAGGUUUUUCCAACAGAUUUUUCAAGGAAGCAAAAAAGACAGCAAAUUACUAAGAAUGAAAUUCACUUUUUAAUUUUUCCCACUGAGUCUUCGUCAACGGAUAAUCCCUACCUAUCAAGACAUAUGACAGUUCUCUCUCAUUUCAAUGUUGUAUGCAUAAAAAGCAAAUUCAGAACCUUCAUGUGAAAUGGAAUUGUAAAGGACUCUGGCUGCAACGCUAUUUGUUGAUAAAGCAAAAAUUGAUUUUCAACAGAAGUUAGAAUGAGGAAAGUCAAAUUUGGAGGACAGUGUAAAACCUCUAACAUUUUCAUGAGCUUUGAAGGUAGACUCUGCUGUUCAGAGAUUGCUCAAGACUAAACUGGUCCCUGCCGAGGUAUCUAUGGACUGUUCUGGAAGGAAAGGUACAAGGAGCUGACAUGAACCUGAUUUUUAACCUGAAGCAGACAGAGUUGGGACCAGCUGGCCUGCAGUCCUGUGAGCAAGAAAUCGAUGUGCAUACUCAUGAGUAAACCAUAAACAUUUGCUGUUAUAACCCAGGAAGCUUUGGGAGUUGAUUUUUAUGUGGUGUUAUGGCAACAAUUGUUGAUGAAUGUGGGUAUACAGUAUUGGAAGUUCUCAUGUGUCUUUGAUGGCCAGCCUCUCAGUGCUUACAGAGCUCCUCAGCCUCACCAGAUAUUUCCCACUUGAAUAAUGAAGUUGUAUGGUUGGGAAUAGACAUUUUGGCUAUUUGGGUCAAUAGGUUUAGGACCUUUGGAGGAUUCAAGACUGGUAGAAAACCACAGCAUGGUCUAAGAUGCAGGUGUUCAUGCCUGCAGGUAAGUAGAUGCAUCAUUAACUUCAAUAAUAAUAAAUAAAAUUUAAAGAGAUUUUUCGAUUAUCAUAAACUGAAUGAACUAAAAUUAACUUUCUAACAAAUAGCCACAAAUUUCUAGCGUGUUUAUCUUUCCCAUAUGUUUCCCAGCUCUGCUAAGUUGGAAGCCUCAAAACCAUCAACCAAUAAAUCAUUCCUUGGGUUUCACUUUGGGGACCAAUUAAAACUAUCAACAUGUUUUCUUCCAUUACACUGGGAGUUUUAUCUCCAGCUGUUGGGAUCUGAGCUUCUAAAAGUAUGAAGCAUGACUACCCAGGGAAAAGGCACGUGAGACAAUUGGAGGAAAAUAGACUCUAUUGAAAGCUAGUUUAUGUAAGCUUAGUGCUUCCACCCUCCUCACUUCAUUCAGAAGGCACAAGCUUUACUAAACAUGUGGUAAAUAAUACAGCUGGCACCACAGCAGGAAAGGUGCUGCCCCUAAACCUGGAGGGAGAGCUCCUGGCAGAUAAUCCAAGGGCUGGUAAUUUAUCACUUAUGCAAACACAGCACCUCUUGUGGGUCUCCUUUUACAUCUCCUGUUCUGUGAAACUUUCCACUGAAGACUUGGAUAAAUGUUUUCCAGAUGGUAUCAAUCAUGGAGUUACCUACUAAUAGGAAUCAAGGAAAAGUCAUUGAAUUAAUUAGCAAGUCAAACAGGAAAGGAAGAAGGACUGUGCUUGAAAGUAGAAAAAGAAGAGACCACUUGGAAUUAUCUAAUCAUCUAGAAACAAGGUCAUUCAGGAAAAGGGGGCUUGAUUAAGCAUCAGGAAACCUGAGACCUGGCCAACAGCCUGGUUCCUCCAAAUCACAGGCUUUGGAGUCUAACAGAUAGAGGUUAGAAUCUCAGCUCAGUCUCUAACUAUGCAUAGUGGGCAAGAUUCUUGGCCUCUCUGAGCCUCUGUUUCCUCAUAUGCUAAGGGAAAAAAGGAUGAAAUAUGCAAACUAUGUAAUACCAUUUUACAGACUUAGAUGUGUAGCAUGUGAAGCACUUAGCAAAGUGGCUACCAAUAGGCGGCACUUAAAAAAAAAAUUCUUUACUCUCACCUGUGAUCAGUUAAAUGAUUGGAAAACUAUUCACCCCUGUCUGAAACUACACCAUUGCCAUGAUCACAUCUUGAGCAGAGUGCACUUUCCCACUCCUUGCUUUGGGCUGACUACAUGAUUUGCUUAGACCAAGCAAUGUGGGUGGAAGUGACAAUGGGCUCGUUUUUAGACCAGGACUUAAGAGGCAUUAUGUUUCUACUUGCCCUUUGCACCUCCCCCAUCACCACAAGAAAAAUAUACCCAGGCUGUCUUGCUGGUCCAAGAAGGAGGAUAAAAGACACGAGAAGCAAAGCUGCCAACCCCAGGAAGCAAAGCUUCCAAACCCCUCCCAACACGAAGACAUGCGAGUGAUAAUAAAUAAUGGUUGUUUUUAGCCACUGAGUUUUGACGUGGAUUAAUUUCAGCUGCUGUAUCUCACAGAUUAUGUUAUCUCACAUUCCUUCUCUGGGUUCUAAUUGCAUAUCUGCUCAGGACUUACUAAAUGAAUAUCUUUUACAAUGCUGAUAUUAGAGGUAAGGCCCAGAAAAUGGCAAGCUAAAGAUGUCCCAGAAACUUCUACCGUAUAGUUGGCUUAAAUCUUAAACUCCAAACUUAGAUGUGUAAGAAAAGUAAUUUAACUUGGUUAUGACAAGACCUUUUUAUUUUUUAACAGUUUUAUUACAAAUCCCCUAUUUUGCUGGUUAGCAGAAACAUCUCUCAGUCAAUUCAGGGUUUCUCCUCCCUUAAGGAUUGGGUUUAACUUUAGGAGGCUCUGCAUGAUGAGGAGGUGGAAGGUGUUGGGAGGGAGAACCAGGGCACUGUCGUUCCUGUUGUUGAUCUCUGCAGUGCUCUCUCUUGGUCUACGUAAGUGAGGAUCUAAAAUCUGAUUCAUUCUUGGGUAAUCUUCUUUUAGAAGCCCAUGAUUAGACCCAACUGGAGGAAGUUUGGAGCUUCUCUCAGACAUGUAAGAAUUGUUCUGAAGAAUCUGCAUCUUGUUGGGUGAAGGACUUCAGAAUGUGCAAUAAAAAUGCAAUAGUCUUGGACCUAUGUAACUGGAAGGAACUGGUGGACAAGCUCUUACUGCUUCUCCAGGUUCUCACAAGAAAGCAGGCAUGGAUUCCUUUUGCACAGCUCCUCCAGGCUUUCUGGGCCCUGUCAUUCCUUCUUCUAUCUUCUGGGUUGAGCAACAUGCAAUCUCCCCUUGUGCAGAAGCCCAAAUAGCUACUGAAAAUGUGUCCUCUCUGACUUUCCCCAUUUCUUGAACUCUGAGAGACUUUUUCUAGUAUCAGUUCUGAGGAGCAUUGCUGUUUUCCUUCCUAUCAUCUGGAAGACCUAGACUUUAAAACUCAAAACCUGAGAAAAACUUCCUUUUUUUUCUCUCUUUUGUCUGGAUCAUCACUACCUUGAAAUACUAAAUUAGCAAAGUCCUAACUAGAAACUGAAUUGGCUAAAGAGUCAAGGAGCAACAGGUAAUUCCAAGAAAAACAACAGCAAACUUACAUCAGUUAACAUUUCAAAGCUAUUUUCCUUUGCAAUUUUGUGUAUCUGUUUUUAUGGAAUGCAAGAGAUAAUAGGCUAAAUGCUAUUUUGCAUAUGUGUUACAUUGGAUUUCUCACAUAUUCUACUACUUAACUCAAGAUGUUGAGUAAAUAAAUGAGUUAAUAAACUGGAAUUUCUAUAUCAGCUCUUGGUUCUAGUUAUGUUUCGUUUGUUUUGGAUUUUUUUUCUUUUUGAAUGCUUAUUCACUGGCCCAGCUGUAUUUAUGCCUAGAUUAACCAGAUACAUUGCCA